UAUUGACCCAACAUAUAUAUCACUCAUUCAAAGAUGACAAAAACCAAAACUAAAAUUAUAGCAAAAAAAAAAUCAAAAGAUUAAAAUUGUUCACCCCAAAAGCCGUAAAGCUCAAAAGCUUCUCGGUGAAGCGAGUCAUUAUAAAAAGGCAUCAAAAUCUCAUCGACAAAGAAAUGAAAAAACUAAUUUAAUGAUUAAAAAAUUAUUGUGGUUUAAAAAUCAUAUAACUUCUACAGAUAUUGAUAAAACAUUUUAUUCGGUAAAUGAAUUGAGGCAAAUAAUUGCUAAUUAAUAAGUUAUAUUAAUAGAUUUGAUGAUGAAUUAGAUCAGAUACGCAUAAUUAAUACCAUUAAUGAAGAUAGAAAAGGUAGGAGACAUGUUCCAAGAAAAACAGCAAUAACUCUUACUAAAAACUCUGAGAUGAAUGAAUUUGAAGGUGG